rnacentral:rRNA from 1 species
CAUUCGCCAGGGUACUACGAGCACAGCUUAAAACCCAAAGGACUUGGCGGUGCCUCAGAUCCAACUAGAGGAGCCUGUUCUAGAACCGAUAACCCCCGUUAAACCUCACCACCUCUUGUUUUACCCGCCUAUAUACCGCCGUCGUCAGCUUACCCUAUGAAGGUUCAACAGUAAGCAAAAUGAGUACAUCCCAAAACGUCAGGUCGAGGUGUAGCGAACGAAAUGGGAAGAAAUGGGCUACAUUUUCUAUAUCAGAAUACAACGAAAGGUGGCCUGAAACAUGACACCUGAAGGAGGAUUUAGUAGUAAAAAGGAAAUAGAG